GAGGGACAGGAUGGAGCUCAGUCCACUCUCUGUGAUACUCUUGCUGAUUUCACUUAUACCAGUGUCCCAGGCUCAAGUAAAACCCAAACCGACUGUGAGAGUGAAUCCUCAGAGCUCCGUCUACACUGGAGACACCGUCACUCUGAGCUGUGAGCUGCAGCAGGGGACUGGAUGGAAGUUUCAGUGGUACAAAAAUAAUCAGUUAC